AAGUGUCACCCACGACUCUGCUAAGUGCUGAGGACCAGACCAUCAUCUGCAAGCUGAAUGACUGUCUCAAGAGAAGGGUCGACAUGAGGUGGAGGAAAAAUGACUGGGCUUUGAGGGAACUGGAGUGCGAGGGAGUAAAAGAAUGUUUGUGCGAAGCAACCUUCAUAGCGAAAAAUACAGAUGGGAAGGGGCAGGAAGAAGAACAGAAGAACAAGAUUUUGUGUGAAGCAGAGAUAGAAGGGCUUGAAAGACUGCUAACUGAAUGUGUCCCUAUUACAAUUCAAGAUGGAUCUAAGCGUCUACACUGGGCUGUUACAUGUGCCUUUACCCUGACUUCCCCACUUGUACUGACUACACUGCUUCUAGUGUUGUGUCGCUGUCUACGUUAAAAUUGAAGUUACUUGCAAGACCUUUGGUGUGUCAAUACAUCCACUGAGCAAUCUCUUGGAAUGGGAGCUCAGAAUAAACACAACAAGAGACAACAAGACCCCAGCGCCAGACUCUCUCAAGACCCUGCUUCAGUCAGGAAAAUGUAUCCCCAGUGUAGAGUGCCCAUGGAGGCGUUGGAUGGCCAGGUGGUCUUUAUCCACCACAUUUAUAGUUUUAGAAAGAACCUGAAGGGGUCAAGAUGUUUAUUUUCUUCAUAUUGUACAUUAAUUGUAUUUUUUCUUUUUACGUUUUCCUCUCCUCUGUUGCCUCCUGGCCUAAGAAGUGUUAAUCAUUCUGUAAAAUGUCACCUUACAUGUAAUAUUCAUUAUUUGGAAGCAUGUUGUUACUUAAAUUUUCAGUUAGUAUUUUGUUGAGAUUAUUUUCAAAAGCAAUUUUAUAUAUUUUACAGAUGUUUUGCUA